AUUGAACGCUGGCGGAAUGCUUUACACAUGCAAGUCGAACGGCAGCACGGGGCAACCUGGUGGCGAGUGGCGAACGGGUGAGUAAUACAUCGGAACGUGCCCAAUCGUGGGGGAUAACGUAGCGAAAGUUACGCUAAUACCGCAUACGAUCUACGGAUGAAAGCGGGGGAUCGCAAGACCUCGCGCGAAUGGAGCGGCCGAUGUCAGAUUAGGUAGUUGGUGGGGUAAAGGCUCACCAAGCCGACGAUCUGUAGCUGGUCUGAGAGGACGACCAGCCACACGGGGACUGAGGCACGGACCAGACUCCUACGGGAGGCAGCAGUGGGGAAUGUUGGACAAUGGGCGCAAGCCUGAUCCAGCCAUUCCGCGUGCAGGAUGAAGGCCUUCGGGUUGUAAACUGCUUUUGUACGGAACGAAACGGUGAGCUCUAAUACAGUUUGCUAAUGACGGUACCGUAAGAAUAAGCACCGGCUAACUACGUGCCAGCAGCCGCCGUAAUAC
rnacentral:rRNA from 1 species